rnacentral:lncRNA from 1 species
GGUUGGACACUGAGACGUAUCUGACAUGGAGGCUAUGGCGUAGGAGUGGUGUAGUCUACGUAGCAAGACAAGAAUUAGUCGAGGAUUAGGAAAAGUACUCGUAGCAAUCAGAGUAGGACUCGCUAGUCGAAUCUGACUAGUAUCCUUGUAAAUCAACCAACCUUUAACUCUGCCUCCAGCAAUAUAAGGUGAGGCAGGGACCUCCUCCAAAGCAAUCCAAUCCAACCA